rnacentral:rRNA from 1 species
GACGAACGCUGGCGGCGUGCUUAACACAUGCAAGUCGAACGGAAAGGCCUGCUUUCCCUUGUGGAUUGCGGGUACUCGAGUGGCGAACGGGUGAGUAACACGUGAGUGAUCUGCCCCCAACUUGGGUAUAAGCCUGGGAAACUGGGUCUAAUUCCCGAUAGGACUGCAGGGUGGUGCCUGUGGUGGAAAACGAUUUUCUAGUGGUUGGGGAUGAGCUCGCGGCCUAUCAGCUUGGUGGUGGGGUAAUGGCCUACCAAGGCGGCGACGGGUAGCCGGCCUGAGAGGGUGGACGGCCACAUUGGGACUGGGAUACGGCCCAGACUCCUACGGGAGGCAGCAGUGGGGAAUAUUGCACCAUGGGCGGAAGCCUGAUGCAGCGACGCCGCGUGGGGGAUGACGGCCUUCGGGUUGUAAACUCCUUUCGACCGCGAGGAAGCCACCUGGUUGGAAGGGUGGUGACGGUAGUGGUAGAAGAAGCACCGACUAACUACGUG